ensembl:lncRNA
CGGCCUAUCACCACAUCAUUCACUAAUCCCUGCUGUCUUCCUUCUAUUCGAACUGGUUAACUAAACGUGCAAUGCGUUUAUAUUAUUCUUUCUACCUCUAGCUUCGACCGCUUUUUACCCACCUAAAUAAUGACUCGGUAAUCUCUCCGUUGUCCUCUCCGUGAACAGUCGGUCCGCCUGCCUUUGCUUUGCUCUGCUGGACGCCCGCCGGUGAUGUUUGGCCGAUAAAGCCAGUUUCGCGUCGACUGACUUGAAACGACGAGGGAAAUUCUCCGUCACCUGUGUCGUCUACAAAUUCUUCGAACCCGCUGUCGUCAAGAAUUAACAGCCUCCCUCUGCUCUCAUCGUCAAUCUCGUCCACGCUGUAAAACCAAACACACUGGGUUUUGCAUGCGUCAAUGGAGUCUAAAGAACGACAGAGGUCCCAGAAAAAAGAGAGCUCAUCGGAAAGUCUGAAAACUGCUGUGAUUUCCAUCUCUGCAUCCAAUUAAGGCGCAGGUCAACGAAGGAGCUCGCGAUGGAAUUUCCACCCAGGAUUAUGUGCUCAUCCGACCUAUGCUAUAAAUUAUCUAUAGUCCUCCUAAGUCAUAUUAUGUUGCCAAGAGAUGGGUUACUUCGGCCACUUCUAAGAAACUGUAACAAAAACUGCACCUCCACGACAAAGAAUUAUUUAUUUACGUAGGCCUUAACACAGUAAACUUCAAGCUAUUUUACAACGGUAUCUGCAUCAUAAUUUUAAAUGAUUAUGGUCAAUUUAUCUUCAUGUGAUGAUGUGGACGUUUUGUAGCAGAAUUUAAGUUAGGCUACCCUAUUUUGUUUCCAAAAUAAUGUAGUCAUCUGUAGUUGUGGCUUAUAUCUCUAUUUCGUGGUAAAACAGGAAUGACAAAGCCAUAAUCGUAUGGAUUAUAGGUCACUUUAUUUUAUUCUUUUAUGACCAAAUAACUUGAGGGUUGAAACUUCACGGGCUAAAGAAUAGUCCUACCGCCUCUUCUAAAAAGGGGUCUAGCCUAGAGACGUCCAAAAUUACAUUUGUUUAUGAGAGCCAAAUUAUGUAGGUUACCAACAUUUUACAAGGAACACAAUAACAAUAUCAUAGAUCUGGAAUAAAUAAAAUAAAUAAUGGAAGUUACUAUUAGGCAUAAUAAAUAACCUAACCUGAAUUAAAACAUACAGAUUUGCUAGCUGUAAUCACACACACACACACACACACACACACACACACACACACACACACACACACACACACACACACACACACACACACACACACACACACACACACACACACACACACACACACACAGACAGACAGACAGACAGACAGACAGACAGACAGACAGACAGACAGACAGACAGACAGACAGACAGACAGACAGACAGACAGACAGACAGACAGACAGACACAGACACACACACACACGGACACACACUUACAAAUGCAAACUUAAAGAAAUGUCGAGGAGGAUAUCACGAAAUAUUUCCUCACACACGCACAAACGCAAACGCAACGCACUCGAUGAAACACAGGGAAAGAUUAAUAGCCGACAUUUUUAUUUUAUUUUAUAAAAGUAGAAUAUUUAUAGGGUUAAACAUAAAAUUAUAUAAAUUCAUGAAUAAAUUAAUGUCAUGGACUUAUAGCCUACAAAUUGUUAAAAGAAUAUUUAUUGCAAUUUGUAUUUUUGCAAAUUCUCAAAUUCUAUUCAAUAUUCUUAUAUAUUUAGUGGUUUAAUGCCUAUUAUUAAUGCAAUGUUUUUUCUUCGUAAACAGGAAAUAUUCUCCUUAAGUCAAAUCAUGAAAACUAUUUGUAAUGGACUUUGUUUAAAGGCUUUAAGACAUCUCUUGAAUUAAGUAAAUAAUAAAAUAAAAUAAUAGGCCUAUUUCUUUAUAAUUAAGUGUAUUACUAUCUUGGUUCUCAAACUUUAUGCAAAAGCCUGUAGCAUAUUUAUUAACUGAUGAUCACUUUUAAAAAAUAUGGCUUGGCUAAAUACAAUAACAUGCAUUGCAACGGGUGAGGAUAGUACCAUACCAAAAUAAAUAAGUGGGCCAAAAGUCAUCAAAUAUAGUUCGCAUCGUCGCAUAUACUUCUGUACAUUUUGGAUGCCAUGGCAGAGGGGAUGUACCCGCAUGGACAUAUUAUAGAUAUACCCUUUCUGACUCCAGAGGUCACUGUUGUCAUGAUGCCUUUCUUUUAAAUUUAAAAUGUCCGUCCUUGAGGCUUACACUUUAAUUGUUUAAAUAAUUACUGUAUAAUUUCAACGUAUAGGC